GAACCCUCUUAUAGAGGAUCAGAUGACGGAGAUGGAGGUAAGUACAGCUUCUGUCUCUGUCUAAAGAACCCUCUUAUAGAGGAUCAGAUGACGGAGAUGGAGAAUCGUUCAACGGUUCUCCAACAGGAAGCAUUAAUCUGUCUCUGGAUGACCUGUCGAACUCUGCC